rnacentral:tRNA from 1 species
GCUCCCAUGGCGUAGUGGUUCACUGCGCUCGCCUUGCACACGCGGGAGACCCGGGUUCGAUUUCCCGGCGGGGUCA